rnacentral:lncRNA from 1 species
GCUAUAUCAAAGUAAAUAAGAUAAGAAAUUGAUAUAGACAUAUUUAAAAUAGAAUUAAGAUUCGAUUAAAAUAAAAAUUACUUAAAAUUAUCAAAAAUUGAUAUUCAAAGAAGAUUGGUUGUCAACUUAGAUCAAAAUCAGACCUUGAGGUACAAAAUUAUAUACUUAUGGCAAUUCCAAGGUUCUUUUGUAAAUUUAAAAGUAAAAUUUGACAGAAGACUUCAUAAUAUUUUUUAAAUGUUAAUAUUUUGUAAUUUGAAUUUAUAAUAAUUUUGUAAGAGCUUUGCAAAAUUAAGAUUAUUUUCAAUAAAUGUAGUUUUGUUAAAUAAAAAAGAGUUUAUAUUUGAAAGAAUUUUGUGAUUUUGGUAGUAGAUCUAUAGAUGAUAAUUUGUGGUUUUGUGAUUAUAAUUUUUUUUAUUGCAUGCUAUAAAUUUGAGUAUAAUCCAACAAUUAAAUUGAAGGUUAUUGAAGUUCAAGUAGAUUAGAG